GAGUCGUCAACCAGGCUUUGAUCCGGGGGUUUCCGAAUGGGGAAACCCGGCAGUCGUCAUGGGCUGUCACCCACUGCUGAACACAUAGGCAGUGUGGAGGGAACGCGGGGAAGUGAAACAUCUCAGUACCCGCAGGAAGAGAAAACAACCGUGAUUCCGGGAGUAGUGGCGAGCGAAACUGGAUGAGGCCAAACCUACGACGUGUGAGACCCGGCAGGGGUUGCGUCGUGGGGGUUGUGGGAUCUCUCUUCCACGGUCUGCCGGCCGUGGGACGAGUCAGAAACCGUUGAUGUAGGCGAAGGACAUGCGAAAGGUCCGGCGUAGAGGGUAAGACCCCCGUAGUCGAAACGUCAGCGGCUCGUUUGAGAGACACCCAAGUAGCACGGGGCCCGAGAAAUCCCGUGUGAAUCUGGCGGGACCACCCGCUAAGCCUAAAUAUUCCCUGGUGACCGAUAGCGGAUAGUACCGUGAGGGAAUGGUGAAAAGUACCCCGGGAGGGGAGUGAAAUAGUACCUGAAACCGUGUGCCUACAAGCCGUGGGAGCGUCGGAACAGAGCUUGCUCUGUUCUCGUGACUGCGUGCCUUUUGAAGAAUGAGCCUGCGAGUUUGCGGUGUGUUGCGAGGUUAACCCGAGUGGGGAAGCCGUAGCGAAAGCGAGUCCGAAUAGGGCGUUUGAGUAGCACGCUCAAGACCCGAAGCGGAGUGAUCUAGCCAUGGGCAGGUUGAAGCGGAGGUAAGACUUCGUGGAGGACCGAACCCACCAGGGUUGAAAACCUGGGGGAUGACCUGUGGUUAGGGGUGAAAGGCCAAUCAAACUCCGUGAUAGCUGGUUCUCCCCGAAAUGCAUUUAGGUGCAGCGUCGUGUGUUUCUUGCCGGAGGUAGAGCACUGGAUAGGCGAUGGGCCCUACCGGGUUACUGACCUUAGCCAAACUCCGAAUGCCGGUAAGUGAGAGCGCGGCAGUGAGACUGUGGGGGAUAAGCUCCAUGGUCGAGAGGGAAACAGCCCAGAGCAUCGACUAA
rnacentral:rRNA from 1 species